UCUGGAAAGGCGCGCGAUACAGGGUGACAGCCCCGUACACAAAAAUGCACAUGCUGUGAGCUCGAUGAGUAGGGCGGGACACGUGGUAUCCUGUCUGAAUAUGGGGGGACCAUCCUCCAAGGCUAAAUACUCCUGACUGACCGAUAGUGAACCAGUACCGUGAGGGAAAGGCGAAAAGAACCCCGGCGAGGGGAGUGAAAAAGAACCUGAAACCGUGUACGUACAAGCAGUGGGAGCACGCUUAGGCGUGUGACUGCGUACCUUUUGUAUAAUGGGUCAGCGACUUAUAUUCUGUAGCAAGGUUAACCGAAUAGGGGAGCCGAAGGGAAACCGAGUCUUAACUGGGCGUUAAGUUGCAGGGUAUAGACCCGAAACCCGGUGAUCUAGCCAUGGGCAGGUUGAAGGUUGGGUAACACUAACUGGAGGACCGAACCGACUAAUGUUGAAAAAUUAGCGGAUGACUUGUGGCUGGGGGUGAAAGGCCAAUCAAACCGGGAGAUAGCUGGUUCUCCCCGAAAGCUAUUUAGGUAGCGCCUCGUGAAUUCAUCUCCGGGGGUAGAGCACUGUUUCGGCAAGGGGGUCAUCCCGACUUACCAACCCGAUGCAAACUGCGAAUACCGGAGAAUGUUAUCACGGGAGACACACGGCGGGUGCUAACGUCCGUCGUGAAGAGGGAAACAACCCAGACCGCCAGCUAAGGUCCCAAAGUCAUGGUUAAGUGGGAAACGAUGUGGGAAGGCCCAGACAGCCAGGAUGUUGGCUUAGAAGCAGCCAUCAUUUAAAGAAAGCGUAAUAGCUCACUGGUCGAGUCGGCCUGCGCGGAAGAUGUAACGGGGCUAAACCAUGCACCGAAGCUGCGGCAGCGACGCUGAUGCGUUGUUGGG
rnacentral:rRNA from 1 species